rnacentral:rRNA from 1 species
CGCUCUAGAACUAGUGGAUCCCCCGGGCUGCAGCCCAAUGUGGAAUUCGCCCUUCGAAAGCCGCGCGCGGCGGGCGGGGCGGGGGCACGGGGGGCCUACGGGAGGCAGCAGUGGGGAAUAUUGCACAAUGGGCGCAAGCCUGAUGCAGCGACGCCGCGUGAGGGAUGGAGGCCUUCGGGUUGUAAACCUCUUUUG